CCUACGGGUGGCAGCAGUGGGGAAUAUUGCACAAUGGACGAAACUCUGAUGCAGCGACGCCGCGUGAGUGAAGAAGGAAUUCGGUAUGUAAAGCUCUAUCUGUAGGGAAGAAAAUGACGGUACCUGAGUAAGAAUCCCCGGCUAACUACGUACCAGCAGCCGCGGUAAUACGUAGGGGGCAAGCGUUAUCCGGAUUUACUGGGCGUAAAGGGAGCGUAGGCGGAAGUGCAAGUCUGUAGUGAAAGGCGGCGGUUCAACCUUCGGAGUGCUGUGGAAACUGUACGGCUGGAGUGCAGGAGAGGUAAGUGGAAUUCCUGGUGUAGCGGUGAAAUGCGUAGAUAUUAGGAGGAACACCAGUGGCGAAGGCGGCUUACUGGACUGUAACUGACGUUGAGGCUCGAAAGCGUGGGGAGCAAACAGGAUUAGAUACCCGUGUAGUC
rnacentral:rRNA from 1 species